rnacentral:tRNA from 1 species
GGGCGCGUAGCUCAGCUGGGAGAGCAUCUGCCUUACAAGCAGGAGGUCACAGGUUCAAGUCCUGUCGCGCCCACCA